UUGGAGGGCAGUCUGGUGCCAGCAGCCGCGGUAAUUCCAGCUCCAAUAGCGUAUGUUAAAGUUGUUGCAGUUAAAAAGCUCGUAGUUGAAUUUCGGGACCUAUCCGUCGGUCGGGCCUCACGGUCCGCACUGGUGUGAUGGAUUCCUACCUUCUGAACAUCCGGUAUGCCAUUAAUUUGAUGCGCCGGGGAAGCAGAACCAUUACCUUGAAAAAAUUAGAGUGCUCAAAGCAGGCUUGUGCCUGAAUACAUUAGCAUGGAAUAAUAAAAUAGGACGGCAUGGUUCUAUUUUGUUGGUUUCUAGGAUCACCGUAAUGAUUAAUAGGGAUAGUUGGGGGCAUUAGUAUUCAAUUGUCAGAGGUGAAAUUCUUGGAUUUAUUGAAGACUAACUUCUGCGAAAGCAUUUGCCAAGGAUGUUUUCAUUAAUCAAGAACGAAAGUUAGGGGAUCGAAGACGGUCAGAUACCGUCGUAGUCUUAACCAUAAACUAUGCCGACUAGGGAUCGGAUGAUGUUAAUUUUUUAAUGACUCAUUCGGCGCCUUACGGGAAAC
rnacentral:rRNA from 1 species